rnacentral:tRNA from 1 species
GACUGGAUAGCCAGCUAGUGGUAAAGGCAUCACUCCUAGUAUAGUGACUUAGCUAAUGCUGAGGUCCCAGGUUCGAAUCCUGGUCUAGUCA